AUUGAACGCUGGCGGCAUGCUUUACACAUGCAAGUCGAACGGUAACAGGGAGCUUGCUCCGCUGACGAGUGGCGAACGGGUGAGUAAUAUAUCGGAACGUACCCAAGAGUGGGGGAUAACGUAGCGAAAGUUACGCUAAUACCGCAUACGAUCCAAGGAUGAAAGCAGGGGACCUUCGGGCCUUGUGCUCCUGGAGCGGCCGAUAUCUGAUUAGCUAGUUGGUGAGGUAAAGGCUCACCAAGGCGACGAUCAGUAGCUGGUCUGAGAGGACGACCAGCCACACUGGAACUGAGACACGGUCCAGACCCCUACGGGAGGCAGCAGUGGGGAAUUUUGGACAAUGGGCGCAAGCCUGAUCCAGCAAUGCCGCGUGAGUGAAGAAGGCCUUCGGGUUGUAAAGCUCUUUUGUCAGGGAAGAAACGGGAGUGGCUAAUAUCCACUCCUAAUGACGGUACCUGAAGAAUAAGCACCGGCUAACUACGUGCCAGCCGCCGCCGUAACAC
rnacentral:rRNA from 1 species